rnacentral:tRNA from 1 species
UUCCUGGUGGCUCAGGUGGUAAAGAAUCUGCCUGCAAUGCAGGAAACCUGGAUUCAAAUCCUGGUUGGGAAG